AUCUCACCAGAAUAUUCACCACAGUUUUAUUGGGCACACAGAAUUCAUCUCAAUGUGUUGUACUGAGUGAAAGAAGCCAGACACAAAUGAGAAUAUUGCUGUAUUAUUUAAAGUAUAUCAAGUCUGAGAAGAGAGGACACGAAUCUGUAGUGACACAAGGGGGAAAGCACAAGUAUUGGCAUGUUCUAUUGGUUGCUGGGGCGGGGGGGUUACACAGGUGUACGUACACAUACAGAACAAUUAACGGAGCUGAACACGGAGGGUUUGGGCAUUUCAGUGUAUGCGAGUUACACUUCAAUCAAGCGCUCUUAGCACACAUUCGCAGGCGCGCCCACACCAAAUCCCAGGAGGCCCAAACCCAGCUGUGCCCGGGCCUCGCCCACCUCGGAAAGGCCACGGCCCAGGGCGUUGGUUUCCCUCCUCCCUCCAGCCCGACUUCCGCGCCUCCCCGAGGGCUAGGGGGUGCAGCCACCUUUCCGGAGAUCGCGAACCGGGCCCUCCCCGGCCAGGUCCCGCCGAGGCUGGGUGAGCGUCCCCGCGCGGGCCCGGGGCGCUAGCGCCUCUCCCGGACGCUAGGGUCCCGCCCCGCGGCCCCGCCCCGCCCCGCGGCCCCACUCCGCCCCUUCGCAGCUGGCCUUCGGCCCCGGCCGGAGGAGGCGGCGGGCGGGCAGGGGCUGCGAAAUGUCGCACGGAGCUGGGCUCGUUCGCACCACGUGCAGCAGCGGCAGCUCCUCGGGACCCGGUGCUGGCGCGGGGCAGCCGGGCGCGGGCUCGUCGGAAGGGCUGCUGGACCCCUUCUACCCCCGCACCCACGCGGCGCUGCUGAAAGUGGCGCAGAUGAUCACACUGCUGAUUGCCUUCAUCUGUGUGAGGAGCUCUCUGAAGAUCACCUACAGUGCCUACAGCUACUUUGAAGUGGUCACCAUUUGCAACUUGAUCAUGAUCCUGGCCUUUUACCUGGUCCACCUCUUCCGUCUCUACCGUGUGCUCACCUGUAUCAGCUGGCCCCUAUCGGAGCUCCUGCACUAUUUAAUCGGUACCCUGCUCCUCCUAAUCGCAUCCAUCGUGGCGGCCUCCAAGAGUUACGGCCAGAGUGGACUGGUGGCUGGAGCGGUGAGGACCUUCCCAGGAGGCGUCAGGAAUGAAUUCACAUUCCGAAUGCUCAUUUUCUUCCUCACAGGGCAGCAAAGGAAUUGUCCCCAAGGGUCUUUCUUUCUUGGAAUCAGUCCCUGCCUUGAUCCACCAGGCAUCAAAGAGCCUUAAACUUGAGCCCACACUGGAGGGUGUCAGAAGGUGGAUCAGCAGGACCGUCGCAAAGUCAAACGGCCUCAGCAGCCCAGGCCUCUCUGUCUUAACAGCCACUGUUUAAACCAGGGAGCAGAUCAGUUUUAAUUCUCAUGUUUUAAUUCUCAUGCCAACUCUGGUUAUUUGCUCGUGGCUGCCUCCGCCCUGUGCAGGGGAAGAUUCUGAGGCCUCUUUUGGGCCCAGGGGAACAGUACUAUAAUCAGCUAGUGAUACCUGCUGUGAGUCCCAGCUCUGCCAUUCCUGAUUUUUAACCACUUUCAGGUUGGGAAACACUCCUCCAAAUUUCAGAGGUGAAAAUGGAUCCCAUCUACUAGCCUGAACAGAAGUAGCAGGGACGUAUACCAAAAUAUAGUGCUGUGGGAACAAUGUAUGUUUAUCACAUAUUCAUACAGAUAGGCACAUGUGCAUAUGCAUUACCUUUUUUUUUUUUUUUUUUUUUUUUUGCUUUUUAGGGCUGCACCCACGGCAUAUGGAUACUCCCAGGCUAGGGGUCAAAUCGGAGCUACAGCCUCUGGCCUAUGCCACAGCCAUGGCAAUGCAGGAUUCAAGCCAAGUUUGCAACCUACACCACAGCUCACAGCAACGCCAGAUCCUUAACCCACUGAGCAAGGCCAAGGAUCGAACCCAUGUCCUCAUGUAUACUAGUUGGGUUAAUUACCACUGAGCCACAGCAGGAACUCCUAUAUGCAUUACUUUUUAAAGAUUUAUAGUUUCCUAUCAUCUGAUUUCUCAUUCAGCUCAUUAUUUACAAUUUGGUAUCCUGUGGGCCAGAACUGAUUUGCCUCACUUUUAAAAUGAGUUUUAAGAAAAACUCUGUGUGUGUGUAUGUGUAUAGUCACUCACUUCCACAUGGUACCAAAAUUCUCUUGACUUAAGGCUGAGAGUGGGUGAGAGCCUGGAUUUCCCCUGAGGGAUGGAGGCUGCCCAGGGCAGAAGGUCAUUGCAGAGGGGCAGCCAAACCCCUGAGCACUUGUGCCCCUUAGUCACGUCCCACAGCCCACUGUCCCAUCCCACUCCUGAACAGUUUCCGAGAGGAAGGAAGCUGCCCACCUGCCCACCUGCAGGCAGGCUGGUGGAGGAGCCACAGAGGAGAUGUGUGCCCAGUGUGUUUCAGGACCACAAGGGGAGAUUCCCACUGGGUUUUCCAAUGCAAGUUGCACAUCCCAGUGUUAGCCUUGGAAUCCCAAUAAACCCCAUUUGUCAUACACUAUCUCUCUGCCUAGGACCAAGCAUGGGCCCAGGGUAGGGAGGGGCCAGAAGAAAUAAAAAGAUAUGGUCUCUGCUUACGAGAAAGUGGUCAUCUAGCUUAGGAGUCGAGGCCAAGGCACGUGAAACAAUUAGCACACAAGGCACUGUCAUCCAGAAUAGCAUUGUGCUGCCCUAUAAUAAACUGUUCAAUUAUGCAGUGGGGACAGUUGGAGACCGGGAUGGUGUAUAAUGUGCUAAUUGUGCAGAACAGACAAUGAGAGGCCGGGACAGGCUCUAAUAGGCAGAUUAUGUGGUGCAGACAAUUGGUACAAAAGGAGCCAAGGAAACAGACAAGGGGGAUGGGGAGGCGGGUGCAGGCCGAUGGGGCAGCCAUGUGUGUAAACCAGCAGCCAGGCUGAAGAAGGAACCAAUCUCGGAAAAUCCGGCUGCUCCUGGGCAGUUCCUACUGCAUGUUAGAGGGCUUCUGGCUGUGCAGUUGGCAAGCCCAAGGACACCUGUGCAACAAGCAAACAGAGGUGGAUUCUGGGCUCAAAUCCCAGAUCUGGCCCUUGCUGUCUCUGUGGUCCUGAGCUAAACAGUUGGCCUCCUGUUCCUCAUUUCUUGAGCUGGACAACGAGAAGGGAGGGGUGAAGCAGCGCCCACCCAGCAGAGCUGUGAGGAUUAAAGGAACCUGCACACCUAAAGGGCUUAGAACACUUCCUUGUAUGAAAUAAGUGCCCAACUUUAGCUAUCGCAGCUGCCAGUAAUAUUGACAAGUCAGGAAAGACUACAGGCUUCCAUGUUCCAAAGGUAAAGGCCCCUGAGUCUGUGCCUACUUCUCUUUCCAUCAUUUAAUGAGCUUCCUGUGAGCCCCUUUCCUCAUCUACAGAUGAGGCAGCUGCUCUGGGCUAGGGCCUCACAGUUUAGCAUGGGGAGGACUCGGAAAGGAAAGGAGCACUGCCUGUAUUUAUGUCAGCCUAAUAUUGCUUAAAUGUGUGCAUACCUAAGACUGGAUAUCGAGGCCUCAGCUUUGACAUCAGCUGUAGAACAGAACAGAAGACCUUUAUGGAUGAAGUGAAACAGUGGUACCACACCAAGAAAAUCCAUUUGAACAAAAAAUGUUAAAAACCCGGAGUUCCCGUUGUGGCUCAGUGGUUAAUGAAUCCAACUAGGAACCAUGAGGUUGCAGGUUCGGUCCCUGGCCUUGCUCAGUGGGUUAAGGAUUCGGCAUUGCCAUGAGCUGUGGUGCAGGUCUCAUAUGUGACUCGGAUCCUGUGUUGCUGUGGCUCUGGCAUAGGCUGGUGGCUACAGCUCCAAUUGGACCCCCUAGCCUGGGAACCUACGUAUGCCACAGGAGCAGCCAUAGAAAAGGCAAAAAGACAAAAAAAAAAAAAAAGUUAAAAACCCAAAUUAAGGGAGUUCCCAUUGUGGCUCAGUGGCUUAAGAACCCGACUAGUAUCCAUGAGCAUGCAGGUUCAAUCCCUGGCCUCGCUCAGUGGGUUAAGGAUCCAGUGUUGCCCUGAGCUGUGGUGUAGGUCAUGGAUCUGGCCUGGACCUGGCGUUGCUGUGGCUGUGGUGUAGGCUGGCAGCUGCAGCUCUGAUUUGACCCCUAGCCUGGGAGCUUCCUUCCAUGUGCCGUGAAUGGAGCCCUAAAAAGAAAAUACCUAAUUCCUCCUUUUUCUUCCUUAUUGGCCAGGAUAAUUAAAUUCCAGUGGCUUGGCCCUAGCUCAGUAGUAAAGGUAAACCCAAGAGUGGCACAAACUUGCCUAGAGGAGGGCUGAGGGCUGGGAGCCUGGCUGUGUCCCCGCUGAGGGUCAAAGCCUCACCUCCCUGCCUGAAUAAGGACAGGUGGCUGGGCCCAGUGAGUCCCUGAGCUCCCUCCUGCUCACAGCUGGUACUUGGGAUGAACAGGCACAGGGAUGAACAGCAGAAAGCAGCCUGACUGGCCCUUGGCUUGGGCAUUUCCUGUCCCCUGUCUCCCUGCAGAUCUUCGGUUUCCUGGCCACCUUCCUCUGCCUGGCGAGCGUGUGGUUGUCUUACAAGAUCUCGUGUGUGACCCAGUCAACAGAUGCAGACGUCUGAUGACGCUCCAGCACCACACUGCUCCCCCUGGCUCUGCAGGAGGCCCUGCAGGACCGAUGGCCCAGCCCACGGGAGGGUCACGGGCGGCGGCCCCAGGAGAGACCAGGGUCUGUGUCCCUGUGCCAGAUCCCCUGCCGGUGGACAAGGGAGGGGCUUUUCCUCUGGCUCCUAAGCUGCUCCAGCCUCUGUCUCCAGCUUUCCUCAUUUCUUCCCUGUCUGGAAAAGAAAAGCAGCCUCCAGGGAAAUCUGGUCUCUCCCUCCUGCUUUAGAACUGCCUCAGGGACUUGAUGACCCCGCUCAAGGUGAAGGAGGGGUUUCUGAAUUCUCCCGCGGAAACCUGCCUUUCUCCCCAGCCUUUAGGGGUAGGGACGCUGCCUUAAGUCCUCUUAUAAAAACACAGCCACCUCUUAAUUUAUCUAGCUUGGAAAUCUGGUUUUGAAGGUACCCUCUUUCUUAAAGGGAGGCCUGUGGAAGCUCCGUGGGGUCAGACUGGCCCCAAACAGGAGAUCUCACUGCUCCUUUCCUGUUCUUACCAUUGUGAACAUGUUUUUUAUGUGUUUUUUAAUAAAAUGUUGACUUGGCCAAUUGCA